AAUCUCCUUCGACCUAUGACAUCAGCAUGGUGCAGGUGGACGUGUGGCAGUAACCAGUCAACUUCUUGUCCCUCAAAAAGAGUGGAAAACGGGAAAAGCUUCACCUGUGAAGUCUCUGACAGGUCUCUGAACAAACAAUACAGAAAGGAAAUCAGCGUCUGUACAGCAUGUUCCACCAUCCCUCCUUCCAUUCACCUGGAGACUCCCAGCUUCAAGACAGUAAUGAUGGCAGAAUCUGAGGUUACAGCUACAUGUUUGGUCCGCACAGCGUUUGACGCAACAGUGACAUGGCUGAUGAACCAAACAGUAACUUCAAGAGGCUCAGUGAAGAAGACUGCAAACGGAACUCAUACAAUCAGUGAUUUGACUCUUUCAUUAAGUCAAUGGAAAGAACUUGGAUCCAUAACAUGUAAAGCAGAGCACAAGUGCUUCUCCUCCGUUGAGAGGACUGUGACUGUUGCAGUGCCUGCAAACACAGUUACAACAAUUCAGAUCAGAAGAUCUCUCCCACAUUUGCUGAAGGGAGACAGUGCUGUGCUGGAGUGUGACAUCACACAGUCCGACUCCAGGGAUCUAUCUGUCACCUUACAUAAUAAUAAGAAUGAUAUUAUUGGCACACAGUUUGUUGAUCUUCCUCAAACCCCAGGACCACAUUCAAUCAGUAGAUUCUUCUCUGUGCCUCAAAAUCACUGGAAGAAAAACACAAGUUUCUACUGCAGCGUAAGCCAAGGUUUCUCUGGCAGUUCUACAUCAAACUCUACUGGCAUUAUCUUUGUGGAUCCAUCAGUGGAGCUCUUUCUGGUCCCAGGUGAAGAGUCUGGACAACAGAGACUGUCGUGCUCUGGUUGGGGCUUUGACCCUCAAAUCAAAUGGUCUUCUGAGUCCCAGCAAAAAUCUCCUUCGACCUAUGACAUCAGCAUGGGUGCAGGUGGACGUGUGGCAGUAACCAGUCAACUUCUUGUCCCUCAAAAAGAGUGGAAAACGGGGAAAAGCUUCACCUGUGAAGUCUCUGACAGAAUUCUGAAGAAAGAUGUUCAACAGGAGAUCAGCCUUUGUUCAGUUACUCCCACAUCAUCUCAAUCAGUUGGGGUCUAUAUUCAGGGACCACCACUCCAAGAGAAUCAGAACACGGGACAAGUGACUGUCACCUGCCUUUUGGUUGGCCCUCUUCUAAAAGAUAUUUCCAUCUACUGGAAAGUAGAUGGAAACACAUAUACCCAUCGUGCCCAUAUAGAGCCACCAGUGAGUCUCGGCAACGGUACAGAAACUUUGCGGAGCUUCCUUAACGUGUCAGCAGAGGACUGGAACUCUUAUAAAAACGUGUCAUGUGAGGGGAAGCAUCCAUGUUCCAAGCAGAGCUACAAGGACCAUAUAAAGAAAUGCAAUGACACCAGUCCACCAACAGUGAAGAUUAUACAACCAAGUGCCUCUCAGGCUUCCACAUCACACUUCCUCGCACUUACUUGCCUGGUGUCAGAAUUUUUCCCAUCCAACAUAAUAGUGUACUGGAAAAAAGAUGGCCAGAGACUCCCUUCAACUGGCUACACUAACAGUCCUGCAUGGAAGUACACCGGGAGCAGCACUUAUUCAAUGAGCAGCAGACUAAAUAUAACCAAAACUGUGCACGAGGAGUCCACAUAUUCUUGCGUUGUCAGACAUGAGUCAUCCGAAAUGCCCCUUGAAAGCAGUAUAAAGGAUGUGUUUGACGUAUUGAAGAGCUGUGAUUUUUUGGAUAAUAUUAUGUAUGCUGAAAGGAUCCAAGACAAAGAUGAGGAAGGCUGGUUUAUGGCUUUCACAUUUCUCGUUUUUUUCCUCAUCUCUAUCGUCUAUGGUGUCCUUGCAACCCUGUUUAAGACUAAAUGAUGGCGA